rnacentral:lncRNA from 1 species
CAGGGGAAACACAGCGGGAGUGUUUACAGCUUGAAAAACUAUAUCUGGAGAGAAGACAACAAUUCACCCAAGGGAAUGUCUCUGAGGACACUUUGUUGAAUUUUAGGAGGAAGUGGAGCUGCUGGUGCCCUUCAAACCCUGCCAAAAAGGGAGUUCUUGCUCUCUGGUCUUCUAUGGGCAGCGUCAGUCUGGGGUUAUGGACUGGGGCUGUAAAUUUCAGCUUAUGCCUUUAGGCAUCUGUGUCUUCUCUCCCUCAUUGUCCUCGUAUUUCAGAACUGGCACCUGAGCUCAGUGGGAGCUGAUCUGGGCACAGAGCAGCGGGCAGAGGAGUGCACACGAGGAAGUGCUUCAGAGGAGCUCAAACCAGGAUGGACACAGCACGAAGCUGCUGGACAGAGCAAUUCCACUCCCUGGAGCAUCUGCAGAGCCAUCAGGCGCAGUCGAAGUCCUGACUGGGAUUCAGGAAAGGACAGGGCAGAAUCGGAAGGUGUCGCUCCUGCACCUCUGAAGACCCAGCUUGUCUCCACCCCUCCCUGGGGAGCCACAGAGAGAAAGGACCCAGUGGAGACCCAACGCUCCCAAGUUAACAAACACAGCGUCUUCCUCUUCGUUUCUCUCUCUCCCUGUUGACUGAAAUGGUAAUUUUAAGUCUGUAAUAGCUCCUCAGGGCACUGAGGUGAGGCAAGAGGGGGAUGUAUUUACGUUCACAUCUG